UUAAGUUCAGCGGGUAGUCCUACCUGAUUUGAGGUCAGAUUUCAAAGUUUGGUUUUGACCGCCGCUCUACAGCAGGUCGUGGAAGGACACGGAAGGGGAACGUCUCGGGGAGAGCGAGGAUGGUACAACGCCCAGUCGAGUUUGACCCACAGGUCCAACCGAUGCAUUUGAAGGGAGCGACCUCGCGGCCGCACGCCCCC
rnacentral:misc_RNA from 1 species